GCCAGUGUGGCGUAGUGGCUUGAGCGCUGGACUACACCUCUGGAGACCAGGGUUCGAAUCCUGGCUUAGCCA